UUCUAAGUAGCUCGCAUCACAGGGAGAAUUUAAUUCACGUCCUCAUUUGGUUUAUAGUCCAACAACAAUCAUUAACUCAAACUAAACUAACUUAAGAACCAAUUUCUCCUUUAUAGUCUCACUAAAAUACACCUACUAUUACGAAUUAACCAAUCACUUAAUUAUCCAUUUCUUAAACCAAGCUUAAAGAGAGAAAAGCUGCUUAACACAUUUCCUACUUAAGCACUUGAUUACAACAAUCAUAUACUCAUAUGUUUAUACCAUAAGCUAUAAUUCAAAGAGUCAAUUAAAAUGGGUGCUGCCAACCCAAGGGAAUCAAGGUUUCCUAAACAAAACCCUUACACUAUAUGCCAAU
rnacentral:lncRNA from 1 species